rnacentral:rRNA from 1 species
GAUGAACGCUGGCGGCGUGCCUAAUACAUGCAAGUCGAGCGAACGGACGAGAAGCUUGCUUCUCUGAUGUUAGCGGCGGACGGGUGAGUAACACGUGGAUAACCUACCUAUAAGACUGGGAUAACUUCGGGAAACCGGAGCUAAUACCGGAUAAUAUUUUGAACCGCAUGGUUCAAAAGUGAAAGACGGUCUUGCUGUCACUUAUAGAUGGAUCCGCGCUGCAUUAGCUAGUUGGUAAGGUAACGGCUUACCAAGGCAACGAUGCAUAGCCGACCUGAGAGGGUGAUCGGCCACACUGGAACUGAGACACGGUCCAGACUCCUACGGGAGGCAGCAGUAGGGAAUCUUCCGCAAUGGGCGAAAGCCUGACGGAGCAACGCCGCGUGAGUGAUGAAGGUCUUCGGAUCGUAAAACUCUGUUAUUAGGGAAGAACAUAUGUGUAAGUAACUGUGCACAUCUUGACGGUACCUAAUCAGAAAGCCACGGCUAACUACGUGCCAGCAGCCGCGGUAAUACGUAAGUGGCAAGCGUUAUCCGGGAAUAUUGGGCGUAAAGCGCGCGUAGGCGGUUUUUUAGUCUGAUGUGAAAGCCCGCGGCUCAACCGUGGAGGGUCAUUGGAAACUGGAAAACUUGAGUGCAGAAGAGGAAAGUGGAAUUCCAUGUGUAGCGGUGAAAUGCGCAGAGAUAUGGAGGAACACCAGUGGCGAAGGCGACUUUCUGGUCUGUAACUGACGCUGAUGUGCGAAAGCGUGGGGAUCAAACAGGAUUAGAUACCCUGGUAGUCCACGCCGUAAACGAUGAGUGCUAAGUGUUAGGGGGUUUCCGCCCCUUAGUGCUGCAGCUAACGCAUUAAGCACUCCGCCUGGGGAGUACGACCGCAAGGUUGAAACUCAAAGGAAUUGACGGGGACCCGCACAAGCGGUGGAGCAUGUGGUUUAAUUCGAAGCAACGCGAAGAACCUUACCAAAUCUUGACAUCCUUUGACAACUCUAGAGAUAGAGCUUUCCCCUUCGGGGGACAAAGUGACAGGUGGUGCAUGGUUGUCGUCAGCUCGUGUCGUGAGAUGUUGGGUUAAGUCCCGCAACGAGCGCAACCCUUAAGCUUAGUUGCCAUCAUUAAGUUGGGCACUCUAAGUUGACUGCCGGUGACAAACCGGAGGAAGGUGGGGAUGACGUCAAAUCAUCAUGCCCCUUAUGAUUUGGGCUACACACGUGCUACAAUGGACAAUACAAAGGGCAGCGAAACCGUGAGGUCAAGCAAAUCCCAUAAAGUUGUUCUCAGUUCGGAUUGUAGUCUGCAACUCGACUACAUGAAGCUGGAAUCGCUAGUAAUCGUAGAUCAGCAUGCUACGGUGAAUACGUUCCCGGGUCU